CAGUAGCCGCGGUAAAACGAAGGGGGCUAGCGUUGUUCGGAUUUACUGGGCGUAAAGGGUGCGUAGGCGGACUGAUAAGUCAGGGGUGAAAUCCCAAGGCUCAACCUUGGAACUGCCUUUGAUACUGUUAGUCUUGAGUUCGAGAGAGGUAAGUGGAACUGCGAGUGUAGAGGUGAAAUUCGUAGAUAUUCGCAAGAACACCAGUGGCGAAGGCGGCUCACUGGCUCGAAACCGACGCUGAGGCACGAAAGCGUGGGGAGCAAACAGGAUUAGAUACCCCAGUAGUCCCUGUCUCUUAUAC
rnacentral:rRNA from 1 species